rnacentral:sRNA from 1 species
GGAAAUGAACAAACGCGGUGCGGAGCUUGUGCGUCAGAAACAAGAAGGAGAAGUGAACGAGGAUGGAAAAGCUCAGUACAGCAGAGCCACGAACGAUUUUCAUGCGGUUUGCGAUGAAAUUGACCGUACUUUGACGACAGUAUUGGAGACAGCGAAACAAUUGAGCAAACUUGACAAAGUGUUCUUUGAUCGGAGCUCUCGAGAUCUCGACGGGGAGGUUAUGGUCAAUUCUGUGCAGAAUUUUGUGGAUAAUACUGAAAUUGUAAGCAGGGUUCAGGCUAAAAUUGUGUUUUGGUAGAUGUUUGGACACUAACAAAUAUUCGUUGCGAAGGAGGAUCGUUGAAAAAAGUCAAACUUUCCUAAUUUUUCAGGUACAAAGAAUGUUCGACGACACAAUUGGAAGUGUGACGUCUUCAAUGGAAAGUAUGCGAAGACGACAGAAGAAAUGGGAGGAUCAACACAAAAAUGAUGACGUCGAAAUGAUGGAGUAAAUAUUAGUUAUUUAAUGAUUGUUCUAUUGUUCUCAAAUACAAAAAAGCGUUACAUUUCUGUAAAAUAAAAAAGAUAAUUUGCAUCUAUUUCAGAAAAUCAUUUUCUCAAUGUUAAAUCUUAUUUUUCUUAAUUUCUUGUGUGUUUUCAUCGCUCAAUUAUCGUUUUUCUCUGAGAAUUGAUUUUCCAAUGUAAAAUGAGAGAUCUUCUUGUUUAAAAAUAAUAAUAAAAAUCACUUACUUCUCUGAAAUAUGCGUUUUAAUCUCUCAAAAAAAUUGAGAUUUGUCCGUUUUUCAUUAAUUCAGACAGUUUUCCGGUAAAUCUACUUUUACACCAUUUGAAAAGGGAAAUACCAAAUUAUUAAAACAGCAUAAAACAAAUUUAAAAAAUUUCUUCAGUUAUUUUCGGUCUAUCUUUUUGUCAUUAAAAUAGUUUUUUUCCAAAAAAUGAAUUUCACAUUUUUAAAGAAAAAAUUUGAAUUGAGUCAGAUUUUUAAGUACGAUAAUUUUUUAUUAGAAAAAAACUAAUUUUGAGAAGAAAAUAGAUAUGUAAAUGGUUUAAAAUGUGUACUUUAAAAUGUGAAAUUUAAAAUUAUUACACGGCCCGGCAAGUGGUACAUCCAUGCAAAUGCGCUCUACUGAUAAUUUGAGUGUAGACCAGGUUUGGGCGCGUGAUAACGAAAAAAGCUUUGGUCCAAAAAAUUUAGAAUUUAAUUUCGGACAUUUUUUAUAUGCAUCACAAAAAAGCUGGACCAACCGUUUUUGAGAUACACGCGCCCAAACGUCCAGGUAUACGGUAGACAAAUUGCGUACAGGUACCACUUCUCGGGCCGUGUAUUAUAUGACCUCAAAAAUUCUGAGAAUGCGUAUUGCACAACAUAUUUGACGCGCAAAAUAUCUCGUAGCGAAAACUACAGUAAUUCUUUAAAUGACUACUGUAGCGGUGGUGUCGAUUUUUGAUUUUUUCGAUUUUUUGAAAUGAAUGGAAAAUGAAAUGAAUGAAAUUGAGCGAUAUUGAAAUUAUUUUCUCAUUUUUAACUGAGUUUCAAUAUUUUAUCGAUAAAUACCGUAUUUUUUCUAUUACUACGUCUUCUCUAUUAGAAUUGCACUCCCUAUUAGUAUUGCCCCUCGGAGACCUCUCGAAAAUUAGUAUGGCACUCCCUAUUAGUCUUGCACUCCCUAAUAGUCUUGCUUUUACUUUUUUUAAAUUGCAAACGGGUCUCGCUAAUUUCAGGAUUCCAUCAACAUUUUUUACCUAUUUUGUAACAAUUUUUGACAACAUUUCUACGAGAUAGAAGUUUUGAACUUACAUGCUACAAUUAAAAUUACAUUUUCUGACUUUUUACAUAUGACUUUUUCAGAAAAACAAAACAACUAGUAAGCUCAAAGUCAAAAAUGUUCUGAAAAUUAGUAUUGCAAUCCAUAUGAGCUCGUAAAUCGACACAAGCGCUACAGUAGUCAUUUAAAGAAUUACUUUAGUUUUCGCUACGAGAUAUUUUGCGCGUCAAAUAUGUUGUGCAAUACGCAUUCUCAGAAUUUUAUGUUUCCGUAAUACUAUGUUUCAGGUGAAAAUGUUUUCACCGCUCGAGUGUCGUCUUGCUGUUGCUUGUAAAUUCCAAGAUGAUCGAUAUUAUAAGCUUUUUCACCAAUAUUUUGAUCUACUGGCCCAAGUUCACUCUGUUGUCGAAACAAUGGACGGUUUAUGGAUGCUGAGAGUGUGGAGGGCUCAAAAAUUCGGACCAGAAAGCAUCAAAGAGAGACGAGAAAGACAACUAUUUCACGUUACUCAAUUUUCCUUCAAACGUUACAUCGUUCCGCCGAAUCCGCGUAUUGGAAAAGCCAUUGAAGAAUUUGGGAAAGAAUAUCUGAUUGAGAUCAAUGUUUACGACGAGCAUCGAGCUGAUUUAGUGAGUCUAAAUGUAACACUUUUAAUUCAUCUUCUAUAUAUUAACCAAUAGUCUUGCAGUCCGGUAAUUUCGUGGCUAUUCAAAAUGUGCACGCAGCGUCCACACCACAUAGAGAAAUUCAAAUUCUUCACGGCGGCGGUGAGGCAUAUCAACGUGGAAUCUCGACAGUUCCAGUCGACUUCGAAGUUGAUGCUUUUCAAAAUUUCAAGAGAAAGGUGGAAUCUGUGCUGGAAAAUGUUUUGUACGAUGAAAAUUUCAUCGAGUUCCAACAGCCGGAAGAAGUUACUGAAAAUCGUGUUCCUGAAGAGUAAGUCGGUUUCAUAAUUGAAAAAAAAAGAUUUUUUUUUAAAUUUCAGGCCUCAAUUGAACAUCCACAAGGACCCUUUGCCGAGUGAUCUUCCACAAUAAAGGAACACCGAAAGCGUGGCGGUUCGUCUAAAUAUCGUUUUCUUUUUUUUCUGUAAUUUUCGGUUCAAACCGGUGUAUCUCACAUGUUUGUUUUUGGUUUUUAAUAUAUUUAUUGUGUUGUUAACGAUUGUUCGGAAUGCAGUAUUUUUUAAAAUUCUUCAGCAUUAUACAGUGCAUUUGUUUUUCCACUUCUGCGACUUUAAAGGGAGGCGCUUUUAUGCGGAAUGAUCUGGUCGCGCGUUUAAUAAUCAUUUUAGCGGUUUCUUUGUAAAAGAAAUCGCUAAAAUAAUAUGCAACAAAUCAUUAAAAACUUGGAAAUUAUUUUUGGUUGCUCAUAUUUGUGCAGGCAAAAAGUGCCCUACCUAUAAAAAAGGUAUAGUCAUUCAAGCCCAGUUUUUGGUUUCAGUUCAUCUUUUCUUUUCUCAAAUCGUGCCAGUAAUCAUGGUAGCCAUCAGGACCAUCACAGUUAAACUUUUUCUCGCCACUGAAGAUGAUCUGAGACCAAAACAUGAGAUUGAAUGAUCAUACCGUAAUCCUCACUUGUCUCCAGUUAGUUCUCUGGCUGAUUUUAGCAAACUGAAUAAGAUUUUGGCCGUGUUUUUCGGUAAUGAAAUUAGCCUUUAUUAAUUUUCGUCUUUUGAUAAACUGGGACUUCGAAGGACACGACGUACGGUCUCAACAGACACUGGCAGGUUCAUCUCGCUCCUACUUUUCGAGCAAGUCACUGUUCAAUUGAAUGCUCGACGAACGAUUUUUCGCUUGUCUCUACCAGAAAGGAGUGGUGGGCGACCAGAAGACUUUUUGGUGCAAUAAGCGGCAGGAUUUGAAGCAUAUCGAGUGAUCAUAUCUCUCAAACGUUUCAAAUCACGAAAAAUCUGACGAUCCGAGAAGCCUUGAGAUAAUUUUGCACAAUUUGUCCUUUUUCGUAGUCAGUUAAAGUUAUUCCACGACCCAUAGCUGUAAAAACACAAACGAACAUGAAACCUAACGUUUAGCAAAAAAAAUUGCAAAAAAAACGAAAAAAGAAAACAAAAACCAAGGGUGGCCGUAUCAUUUUGUGGAUUUUUUAUAUGGUUUUUCAUGAAAAAAUGGUUUAUCUUUUUUUACGAACGGUUCAGGUAUAUUUCCAAUACUUAUCUGAAAGUUAGCCAGUACAGCGAACAUUUUCACAAGAAACUAUGUUUUGCUAUCUCAACCCAGUUUUGAGUUAUACCAAAAUUUGGGGGUGGCCGUAUCAUUAUGUGGAGCACUGUAUUUAUAAACAUUUUUAAAAAAUUAUUCGAAAAUUCUAAAAAUUUUUAGAAAUUUCUCGAAUAUUCCCGUAUUUUAGGAGUAAAAAAAGGUUCUUUUUUGAGAUUUUUCAAACGAAAUAGUGAAAAAAUUUCAAUGAUAAACAGGAAAAAAUCUUCUUUUUUUGAAAAAAUUGUAUUUCUUAAAUAAAAAUUACUUUAUUUGGCAUUUCAAGUGAAAGUUUGAUUUUUUUUCAAAUUAAAAUUUUUAUACAAAAAAAAAUUCCAAAAAAGUUCAACAUUAAAUUUCAAUGCUUUGAAAAAUAAAAAUAACAUUUUUUCGAAAAUUUAGAAAACAAAAACCUCUCAAAAUUUUCAGGUUCUAGCUCCAGGUUCAAUACCUCCCGGCGGGCCAGCUUCCCAAACAGGACCCCAAUCGAUUCAAGUCUUCGGACCCGGCUCCGUGCAGCCACCAGGCUCAACACAGGCUCCGUCCUCAGUCCAACCGGCUUCCACAUUCAAUCCAGGCUCGAUUCAGGCUCCGGCAAGCCAGCAGCCGCCUGCAUCAGUUCAACCACCGCCAUCUGCAGCGUCGGGCUCAACUGUGGCCGGUGCACAGAGCUCCAAAGAGCCGCUGAAACCGAAUGAGGAGCAAAUUCGAAUGGUUCAGGAUCCUGUGGAUUUGGUUCGAAAUUUGGUGCAAAAGGAUCUCAGAAAUUCGUUGGUG